rnacentral:ncRNA from 1 species
CCGCCAAAAGCUUUGAGAUGUACGGAAUCAACGGUAAGUUCAGGAUCACGAGUACGAUGUUGCCGAAGUACAUGGAAAUGAUCACUGACCAGAACACAUCUGGAUGCUCAACAAACAGGCGAGGGCC